rnacentral:rRNA from 1 species
UACAGAGGGUGCGAGCGUUAAUCGGAAUUACUGGGCGUAAAGCGUGCGUAGACGGUUAUUUAAGUCGGGUGUGAAAGCCCCGGGCUCAACCUGGGAAUUGCAUUCGAGACUGAAUAGCUAGGGUACGGUAGAGGGAAGUGGAAUUUCCGGUGUAGCGGUGAAAUGCGUAGAUAUCAGGAGGAAUACCGAUGGCGAAGGCAGGUCUCUGGGCUGAUACUGACGCUCAUGCACGAAAGCGUGGGAGCAAACAGG